UACGGAGGGUGCGAGCGUUGUUCGGAAUUAUUGGGCGUAAAGCGCGUGUAGGCGGCUCCUUAAGUCUGAUGUGAAAGCCCCGGGCUCAACCUGGGAAGUGCAUUGGAAACUGGGGAACUUGAAUACGGGAGAGGGUAGUGGAAUUCCUGGUGUAGGGAGUGAAAUCCGUAGAUAUCAGGAGGAACACCGGUGGCGAAGGCGGCUGCCUGGACCGAUAUUGACGCUGAGACGCGAAAGCGUGGGGAGCAAACAGG
rnacentral:rRNA from 1 species